UCCUUGAAAAUUAGCAGCUCCAAACUUCAAAACAGCUUCAAAGCACACUUGAUGUCAGAACGAUGGUGCCAAGCAUCUGUCCUGGGGAGAGAAGUGACCCUGGGCACGCUUGCUUCUGGAAGGUCACGCACCAGACACGGAGGAUGUGGCUCGGUGUUUUCACAGCUGUUAGAGUGACAUAUCUGAGACUAGUUUCCUUGACUAUGGUUGGGGUUUGAGUCUAUAUAAGUAAAGGUUAGAACAGACUUUAAGAUCUCUCUUGGAAAAUAAAAAGAUUAUGACCCAUAGUGUUAGAAUGGUAUCUGGAAACUUUUCCAAUUGGGAAAAACAAGCAUUUCAGGUGUUUUCACUGAUGAGCAAAUGCUGACCAUGUACAGUUUUCACUGCAGAAUAGUCAUUGUGUUCUACCUGAAACCCUCACCUUCCUGAUAUAAAACGUUUCAUGGAAACCAGUUGGCAGGAUAUUUUUCCCUGCCAAAUCUAUAGUAACUGGCCUUUGACAGAUACGUAUUUGCUGGUGGAAGCAGUGUGUCUCACCCAGGCAGAGACACAUGAGCGUAGAAAGGGUGGCCGCUCCUCAUUCUGACCCAUGAACAAAGGCAGCCCUGUGGUGACGGACAUGCAGGAAGGCUCAGCAAGAGUUAUGGAAGGCCAAGUCUCUGAGGUCAGUAACCAGUGCACUUAGAACCAGAGAUGACUGCAGUGCUGAGACCAAGGCUGUGGGUGGCCAUGAGUUCCACAUCAAAGCCCGCUUUCACCUGGAGUGCAAUCCUAGGGCUGUGCCGUGAGCCUGCAGCAAGGCUUCUGUGUCCACAGCAUUUGCUUUUCCAGUCUCGCCUUGGUCAGACUUAGUGACGGAGGACAGGCAUCUGGACGAGAGGCAGCUAAGAAGCCACUGCACCCAGCUGCCCUUGAAACAGGAUGCAGGCACGGCAGGAGGGCUGCUGGCUUCUCUUCGAGAACCGGGCACCACUGGCCACUCCCUGGCCCAGCGAGUGGUGAGCAUUUGGCUGGACAGGGACACACACCAGAGCAGAAGACGCACCGGAGGCCGUGAAAGCCAGCCAUGAGCAUUUGUGGCUAUUGCUGUUGUUUCGGGGUUGUUUUACUAUUCUGGUAUUUUCAUUUUUAUUAAAACUAAUUUACAGUGCAUGGUCACGCUCCCGGUAGGGAGCCAGUCUGAGGAUGUAACACAACCUCAUCCCUAUUCAUCCCCUCACCUGCCCCAGCUCGCAGUCCUCUCCCAUUUGGAAAAGAGCUACCUCCUGCUUCCUACCAUCUGCCUUUUAUUCUGCUCCUUCUUUAUAUUUUGGGCUUCUCAUGUAAGUGAAAUCACGUGGUACUUAAGUUCGCAUGUCCGUCUGAUUUCACUUAACAUUGUGGUUUCAAGGCACAUUUUCCUACAAAGGACUUAAGUUUUCCUUGGUGGCAGAGUAGGGCUCUAUGGUGGGCAGACCCCUCAUUUUCCUUAUCCGCUCCUCUGCUGAGGGACAUACAGGCCACACCCAAGAUUUAGCUACUGUGAGUUGCGCUGCUGUAAAUGUGAGUCACUGUAAGGUGAUGUAUUUUAACUCUCUUGGGGAGAUUACUAGAAGGGGAAUAGCUGGUCAAAUGGAAUUUCUAACUCCAGGUUAUGGAGGAAUCUCCACACCAAUUUCCAUAGUGAUUGUACUCCUUUUCUCCUGGCAGCCUCGCCAGUAUCUGUUAUUAUUUGGUUUCUUGAUAAUGCCAUUCUGUCUGGGGUAAGAUAAAAUUUUAUGUUGUUUCAAUCUGCAUUUCUCUCAUGGGCAGUUGUUAUGGUUGAUGUAUUGUGUCAUUUGAGAAGUUUUAGUGACUCAGCAGGAGCCAGAGUAUUACUUCCUCAUGCUGUGCAAGAGGAAGGCACAGAGGCAGUGUGAGUGCUACACCCACCCUAGCGAGGGGGGAUGGCCUGUGUGUACAGUGUAAGGAGGAAAAGAGGCCUGCUCUCCCUCCCUUUGCUCUGGCUGCUCUUUCUGUCUUCUGCCGCCUUGAACUACUGCCCCUGGGCCAUGCCACCCUGCCUUGGAGCCAGCAGAUUACAGACUGAAACCUCCACAAGCUAGCUUUCCUCCCUGGUAAGUGGCUGCAGUAUGGCAGACGGUGGACCUUCCCCGGGGAGAACCAGCAGUGGCUCCUGAGAUCCUCACCAUGUUGGAACUUAGGAUGCUGGGAAACCAAGCAAGCAGCUCCCCUCCCUGAAGCAGAUUUCUCAGUGCCCUGGACCCAACUCCCAUCCUGCCCUGAUGCCUCGGGUUGCCGUCUCCCUCCCAGGUCAGAAUCCAUCUCUGGAAGCCCCUUCCCAGUCUCUAACUGCUGACACUGGAUCCGUAGCCCUCCUUCCUGCCCACACUGCUGCCGCUGCUGCUGGCUUGGUGUGUGCCCUCCUAUCUGGUGAGAUACAUUCCUCCUCCUUGAACUUAAUUUCAAAGUCAACUUAGCAAUUCCAA